CAGCACCAAAGAAUGUGACUACAUUGGGAGAUAGCUUCAUCAAAGAGCAGGGUGAAAACAAACUAAUACACCACCCUCCACUGUUUGAAGCAAAACUGCUGGCUCUAUGGGGUCUUCAAUUCACUAAAUAUUUCCUAAAUGCCUGGUUUAUUUCACUGACAAGUCAAGGAAGUUGCCACCUUUUGGUGCUCACUGGGCUGCUGUGGAUGUCUAACCUCAUUGCCAGCCACACAGAACCUGAAGCAGGGAUCGUUGCACCACUUAAUGUGAGACGCAGAGAAGAGUUGGGGAAUCCUGUUGGACCAGGAGGAGGAAUAAUAUUAGUUGGACCAAAUGGUAGAACAGGACCUGUGUGCUCAACCUUUCUUGGGAAUUCCAUUCCUCUUUGAGGCAGGCAUGGAAUCCCAGUGAACAUCCUGCACUCUCAGUGUCCAGCUGUCUGAGGCAACAGUUGUUUCUGAUGAUAGAGAACAAUUGCUUUUUUUUCUGAGAAGACUUCCAUGGCUGAGGUAAGCUGGAUUCUAUAGAACAUUGAUUCCAU